rnacentral:lncRNA from 1 species
AAAAAUGAACAUGUGAAUCUGAUAGAUGCAAACUAUACUGAACACGUUCCUCAUGAUCAACAAAAUAUUGUAUUUUUGCAACACUCCAUUCUUGAAUUAUUUGUAAUGUGCAAAUGAAAUGCAAUAUCGAAUAUGUAUACAAAUUUUAUGAACUUCUUCAGAUUUCAUCGAUCACAUUCUAUAUAUAUAUGAAUUAAUUAAAUGGGACAAC